AUAUAUAAGGCUAUAACUUUACCACAAAACAGGAACAUGCAUCAUUAUGGCUUCAUUUCCUGUGGUAGGCUGUCAUGCAUUUUAGUCAUUUCCAUCCCUUCAGUCAGUCAUUAUCUGCUCUGAGCAGGUAUCACAAGAGUUGAGGCCAAGAUGGAACGUUUGCUACUGUCACUGGCUAUCUUUUACAUCAGCACAUCAGUUGGCCAAAAAUUGACACUGACCUAUGCACUGGAAGCAUUGACCACCAUCAUCGUAAUACAGUCCUUCAUUAUUAUUGACACAACAGUCUUCAGCAUUGGAAGAAGGUGCCAAAGCAGCAGUACAGUCAGGAUCAGUGAAGCAUCCUCUGAAUUGAGCCUGAGCUGCAAAGAUAUAAUAGAUAUAGAUCUAUAGCUAUUGAGCAUGUCUUACCAGCAGAAGUGGAAAUGAGCAAGGUGAGCAAUGUCAGUAGGAGCUGAUUUGAAACUCCCAUUCUGGUUUGCUUUUUUCCCUGCUGUAUACACUAUCUAUCUAGAUUUCUACUGUGAAAGCAGCUCUAUCCAUAACUAUUCUAUAUACCAGGUAUUUGUCAUGUGCAGGAAGUUAAAGCUUUCAGUAGCUAGAUCUACUGUGUUAGUCACUUUAUAUAAUUAUGGGAUAAGAAUAAGAAUAUGGUUUAUCAGAGGACCAAAAUAACAUAAUGCUUUCUUGCAAAAUUAUUUGUGUUGGCUAAUGGGUUGUUUUAGCAUUGCCCUGUAUCAACACAUCAUGCUCUGGUGGAGCCUGUAGGUAUAACCAAACAGUGCAUGUUACGUAUAGACAAUACUAAAUAAACGUUUGAUCUACGUCAAUAUUUGCUGUCUACUCACUGCGUGUACCGUAAAGCGCCAUGAAAUGCAAAUUAUAUGGACUAACAGAUCUUGACAAACAAUAAUUAUAAUACUUAUAAAUUUUAUUUAACUGAAUAGCUAACCAUACACUCACAUCAUCAAGAACAAUUUUAUAAUAAUGAUUCAAACGUUCAUCAGAAUAAUUAUAGCAUUACUCACAUUCACUCAUGUACAAACUUAAUGUUAAUUCUGUAGUUUUUCGACUAAAUCUAUACACACAAUUAUUGCACAAAAGUUGUGUUAGGCUGCACAUCUGGACUCCUCGAAAUGGCUGUAGCUGAAGUCAGUGGCGUACGGUGUUUCCACUCUGUAGUCAGUGUACUCCCCGAAUAUCACUGGACUGUUGACUGUAUCGUCGAGGAUCUCGUACAGAGGAGCGGCCUGGUUUUGUCCAGCAUAGAGACAGUACUCCAUCUUGUGCUCCCAGGUUAGAGGCCAGAGCCAGCCGACAAAAGAUCGCUGUGGCUCGUUGGGAUGGUUGGUGGUUACGACAUAGUAGCCGUCGCUGUUGACUCCAUCCUGCACAGGUCCAGUGUAGGGCUGUACUUGGAUAGGGACGUUCCAGAAUUGACCUGCACAAUAAAAAUAAUAAUUAUUGUACUAUCGGAAACAUAUCAGCAUCAAUCAACACUUUUACACAUCGUAAAUCACCCACAUGACUGUAGAUUACCAUCUUUCUAUACCCCUAUAAUUAUACCUAUAUAACUAUACAUAGAUACUAUAAUUCCUACUCACCCAGCAAUCCGUGCGACCGUUCAGCAAGGUCCAGUCCUCUAGCAAUCACGAACCGAAUAUUAUUAGCGUGGAAAAUGAUUUCAUUCUCGUCAGUGCUUGCUCUGCUCCAGAAGGUUGUGUUCAGACAUGACACCCACAUCACAAGAUCGAUAUCGGCACAGUUGGGAACCACGAUCCUCACACGACUACGGAACCUUCGAACGGUUAUUCCAGCAUUUAUGUAAUCCGUAACAGUGACGUUAUCAAUAGAUGCACUGCACUGGUCCAGGGAAACUUCAAUAUUCCUACAAUUUCCAUUUGCAUCUGUAGCUCGCACGUAUAUGGCGUCAACGAUGUUGAUAUCCUCAUUUGGUAUAACUCUAGCAUAGCGAGCGUUCACGCUGACACAAGCGUCACUGACAAGAU